rnacentral:rRNA from 1 species
CCUACGGGCGGCUGCAGUGGGGAAUUUUGGACAAUGGGGGCAACCCUGAUCCAGCCAUGCCGCGUGCGUGAAGAAGGCCUUCGGGUUGUAAAGCUCUUUCGUCCGGGAAGAAAUCGCUCAAGCUAAUACCUUGGGUGGAUGACGGUACCGGAAGAAUAAGCACCGGCUAACUACGUGCCAGCAGCCGCGGUAAUACGUAGGGUGCGAGCGUUAAUCGGAAUUACUGGGCGUAAAGCGUGCGCCGGCGGGGAAAUCCCCGGGCUUAACCUGGGAACUGCGGUUGUGACUGUGGGGCUCGAGUGCGGCAGAGGGGGGUGGAAUGCCACGUGUAGCAGUGAAAUGCGUAGAGAUGUGGAGGAACACCGAUGGCGAAGGCAGCCCCCUGGGUCGACACUGACGCUCAUGCACGAAAGCGUGGGGAGCAAACAGGAUUAGAUACCCGGGUAGUC